rnacentral:rRNA from 1 species
CCUACGGGAGGCAGCAGUGGGGAAUAUUGGACAAUGGGCGAAAGCCUGAUCCAGCCAUGCCGCGUGUGUGAAGAAGGCUUCGGGUUGUAAAGCACUUUCAGUGGGGAAGAAAGCCUUGGGGCUAAUACCCUCGAGGAAGGACAUCACCCACAGAAGAAGCACCGGCUAACUCCGUGCCAGCAGCCGCGGUAAUACGGAGGGUGCGAGCGUUAAUCGGAAUUACUGGGCGUAAAGCGCGCGUAGGCGGUCUGAUAAGCCGGUUGUGAAAGCCCCGGGCUCAACCUGGGAACGGCAUCCGGAACUGUCAGGCUAGAGUGCAGGAGAGGAAGGUAGAAUUCCCGGUGUAGCAGUGAAAUGCGUAGAGAUCGGGAGGAAUACCAGUGGCGAAGGCGGCCUUCUGGACUGACACUGACGCUGAGGUGCGAAAGCGUGGGUAGCAAACAGGAUUAGAUACCCCAGUAGUC